rnacentral:rRNA from 1 species
UAAGUGACUAAGCGUACACGGUGGAUGCCUGGGCAGUCAGAGGCGAUGAAGGACGUACUAACUUGCGAUAAGCGCAGAUAAGGCAGUAAGAGCCGUUUGAGUCUGCGAUUUCCGAAUGGGGAAACCCAACUGCAUAAGCAGUUACUGUUAACUGAAUACAUAGGUUAACAGAGCAAACCGGGGGAACUGAAACAUCUAAGUACCCCGAGGAGAAGAAAUCAACCGAGAUUCCGGUAGUAGCGGCGAGCGAACCUGGAUUAGCCCUUAAGCACUCGGUGAAGUAGGUGAACAAGCUGGAAAGCUUGGCGAUACAGGGUGAUAGCCCCGUAACCGACGCUUCAUCGAGCGUGAAAUCGAGUAGGGCGGGACACGUGAUAUCCUGUCUGAAUAUGGGGGGACCAUCCUCCAAGGCUAAAUACUCCUGACUGACCGAUAGUGAACCAGUACCGUGAGGGAAAGGCGAAAAGAACCCCUGUGAGGGGAGUGAAAUAGAACCUGAAACCGUGUACGUACAAGCAGUAGGAGCACCUUCGUGGUGUGACUGCGUACCUUUUGUAUAAUGGGUCAGCGACUUAUAUUCAGUGGCAAGGUUAACCGUAUAGGGGAGCCGUAGCGAAAGCGAGUCUUAACUGGGCGCUCAGUCUCUGGAUAUAGACCCGAAACCGGGUGAUCUAGCCAUGGGCAGGUUGAAGGUUGAGUAACAUCAACUGGAGGACCGAACCGACUAAUGUUGAAAAAUUAGCGGAUGACUUGUGGCUAGGGGUGAAAGGCCAAUCAAACUCGGAGAUAGCUGGUUCUCCCCGAAAGCUAUUUAGGUAGCGCCUCGGACGAAUACUACUGGGGGUAGAGCACUGUUAAGGCUAGGGGGUCAUCCCGACUUACCAACCCUUUGCAAACUCCGAAUACCAGUAAGUACUAUCCGGGAGACACACGGCGGGUGCUAACGUCCGUCGUGGAGAGGGAAACAACCCAGACCGCCAGCUAAGGUCCCAAAGUAUUGCUAAGUGGGAAACGAUGUGGGAAGGCUCAGACAGCUAGGAUGUUGGCUUAGAAGCAGCCAUCAUUUAAAGAAAGCGUAAUAGCUCACUAGUCGAGUCGGCCUGAGCGGAAGAUGUAACGGGGCUAAGCAAUACACCGAAGCUGCGGCAAUGUCUUUUAGACAUUGGGUAGGGGAGCGUUCUGUAAGCCGUUGAAGGUGAAUCGUAGGUUUGCUGGAGGUAUCAGAAGUGCGAAUGCUGACAUGAGUAACGACAAAGGGGGUGAAAAACCUCCUCGCCGGAAGACCAAGGGUUCCUGUCCAACGUUAAUCGGGGCAGGGUGAGUCGACCCCUAAGGUGAGGCCGAAAGGCGUAAUCGAUGGGAAACGGGUUAAUAUUCCCGUACUUCUGACUAUUGCGAUGGGGGGACGGAGAAGGCUAGGUGGGCCAGGCGACGGUUGUCCUGGUUCAAGUGCGUAGGCUUGAGAGUUAGGUAAAUCCGGCUCUCUCUAAGGCUGAGACACGACGUCGAGCUACUACGGUAGUGAAGUCAUUGAUGCCAUGCUUCCAGGAAAAGCCUCUAAGCUUCAGAUAGUCAGGAAUCGUACCCCAAACCGACACAGGUGGUCGGGUAGAGAAUACCAAGGCGCUUGAGAGAACUCGGGUGAAGGAACUAGGCAAAAUGGUACCGUAACUUCGGGAGAAGGUACGCUCUUGAUGGUGAAGUCCCUCGCGGAUGGAGCUGACGAGAGUCGCAGAUACCAGGUGGCUGCAACUGUUUAUUAAAAACACAGCACUGUGCAAAAUCGCAAGAUGACGUAUACGGUGUGACGCCUGCCCGGUGCCGGAAGGUUAAUUGAUGGGGUUAGCGCAAGCGAAGCUCUUGAUCGAAGCCCCGGUAAACGGCGGCCGUAACUAUAACGGUCCUAAGGUAGCGAAAUUCCUUGUCGGGUAAGUUCCGACCUGCACGAAUGGCGUAAUGAUGGCCACGCUGUCUCCACCCGAGACUCAGUGAAAUUGAAAUCGCUGUGAAGAUGCAGUGUACCCGCGGCUAGACGGAAAGACCCCGUGAACCUUUACUACAGCUUGGCACUGAACAUUGAACCUACAUGUGUAGGAUAGGUGGGAGGCUAUGAAGACGUGACGCCAGUUGCGUUGGAGCCGUCCUUGAAAUACCACCCUUGUAUGUUUGAUGUUCUAACUUAGACCCAUUAUCUGGGUUGAGGACAGUGCCUGGUGGGUAGUUUGACUGGGGCGGUCUCCUCCCAAAGAGUAACGGAGGAGCACGAGGUGGGCUAAUCACGGUUGGACAUCGUGAGGUUAGUGCAAUGGCAUAAGCCCGCUUAACUGCGAGAAUGACGGUUCGAGCAGGUGCGAAAGCAGGUCAUAGUGAUCCGGUGGUUCUGUAUGGAAGGGCCAUCGCUCAACGGAUAAAAGGUACUCCGGGGAUAACAGGCUGAUACCGCCCAAGAGUUCAUAUCGACGGCGGUGUUUGGCACCUCGAUGUCGGCUCAUCACAUCCUGGGGCUGAAGUCGGUCCCAAGGGUAUGGCUGUUCGCCAUUUAAAGUGGUACGCGAGCUGGGUUUAGAACGUCGUGAGACAGUUCGGUCCCUAUCUGCCGUGGGCGUUGGAAGAUUGAAGGGGGCUGCUCCUAGUACGAGAGGACCGGAGUGGACGAACCUCUGGUGUUCGGGUUGUGUCGCCAGACGCAUUGCCCGGUAGCUAAGUUCGGAAUUGAUAAGCGCUGAAAGCAUCUAAGCGCGAAGCGAGCCCUGAGAUGAGUCUUCCCUGACAGUUUAACUGUCCUAAAGGGUUGUUCGAGACUAGAACGUUGAUAGGCAGGGUGUGUAAGCGUUGUGAGGCGUUGAGCUAACCUGUACUAAUUGCCCGUGAGGCUUAACCA